rnacentral:misc_RNA from 1 species
GAUGAAGAACGUAGCGAAAUGCGAUAAGUAGUGUGAAUUGCAGAAUUCAGUGAAUCAUCGAAUCUUUGAACGCACAUUGCGCCCCCCGGCAUUCCGGGGAGCAUGCCUGUUCGAGCGUCUCCAGGACGAAUCCUCGCGCGAGUGAACGCGCGGUCGUGGCGGAGGUGGCGUGCCCGAGCAGGGCGGCCACCGCGCUGGAAUCCAUGGGCGGACGCCUGCCGCGUGGCCGAGCGUGAUAUGACGCAUUGGCGCUCGUGCGCGGCGAGGCUGCCAGCCCUGGCCCGUCUGUCGGGCGGGGUAGAUCACCACGUGGGAACUCCUCGAAUCAGGUAGGGAUACCCGCUGAACUUAAGCAUAUCAAUAAGCGGAGGA